CAUGUCUAAAAACCAAUAGACCUUCAAUGAAAUGCUGCACCGUUUGCAGCAGCUUUCUUUUGGUUUUGGUAGAGUCGCUUAAAUCAAAACUGUUUCUGCUUGGAAUCAAACUUCAGUGACCAACCCUAGUUUAACCAUGUCGCCCUAUGGUCAAGUACACCCUAUGUAUUUGUUAAAUACAAAAAAAAGUACCAGUAACUUAAACUGCACCCUAUAACCCAGUGCGCCCCAUGGUCGUGAAAAUACAGUAUAUCAUUAGUUUGACUUCUUAAUUUAAAUCCAUCAAAUUGAUAUUAAACUUGUAUUCACUUGAGAGAAAAGGGAAAUUGCCUCAUCUGAUUGUAACAGUUCAGCAGUCUUGGCUCUUUUCAGCUGGGUUCUACCUAUCACUUUGCUCCAAAUGUUUUAUUUUUUAUUUUUUUGGUAAAAGGUGCUUUAAAGGGGAUUAUUCACAGUUGACUUUUAAAUGUAUGUCUUUCAGGUACUCCACAUGGAUUCUCUCCAAGGCUAAACAUUCAGUACCUUCAGAGUGGUGUUUAUCGAACCAUUGGUCAAAUGAUGUCCACAAUUAUUGUGCAAGGAGGUGAACCUCCUUCCUUUCUGUCACCACACGUUGUGGAUUACAUUGUGUCUGGCAACAUUCUUCAAGUGGAUGUUAACCCUGAUGAUAUAGGUGAUCCUGAACUGAGGGAGAAUCUUACAAAGAUUAAAGAAGCAACAACACAAAUAGAGUUGGAGAAUGCAAUCAACAGUUGUGGUUCGUGGCGUUUUGAAGUAGAAGGUCUUCCUCUCACAGUCACCAUGGAUAACAGAGAAGUAUUUGUAAGGAAUGCUGCACUGUACCAUGGCAUAUUGACCCGGCAAAGCUGUCUUGAUCAGCUAAUUGAUGGAUUGGCCUACUAUGGAUUUUUGUCACUUCUGAGGGAGAAGCCCAGCAUGCGUGUGCUGUUGGACAUGCCAAAAGAAGACACAACCCUUACAGCUGAUUGUGUCGCUGGUCUUCUGAAGCCCAGCUACUCUGUACUGGGUAGCAACAGAAGAAUCAAGGAAGAGUUAAUGGUGGUGAAAUUCAGGGAAUUUCUGCACUGCAUUGAAAGUAAAUAUUUCUGUUGUGGGUUACAUUGGGAAGAAAGAAAAAUGCAGGAUAUGAUAAUUAAUAAAUAAAUAAACAAAUAUAUACAUAUAUAUCUUUUUUUUACUUAUUUUCUACUGAUAAAAUUUAAUGACAAUCAUGAAUCUAAUUUGAUGACACAAUACGAUAAAAAUAUUGAGCUAAUUAGUUUGACACAUUAGCUCACGUGUCAAAGUCAAUGCCUGCAGGCCACAUGUUCCCUCAUAUCUGGCCUGCAAGAUCAUUUCAUAUUAUCAAUGGCCCAGCAUUAGGCAAUUUAAUAUAGGUAACAAAUUAACCAUAGGUCCCAUAAUGCAGUGCAUCAGCUGCAUUGCAGUACGCUAAUGUGACCUAGUAGGACUUUGGCGGUAUUGAUAUAAAAUUUGUGUGAAAAAAAUAUUUUAUCAGAAAAAUCGAUGUAUUUUAAGUGCUUCAUUUACAAUUGUAGCACAGGUUGUAAAGUGAAAAAGGAUGAGCACAGCCUCAAUUCCACAAUCCUAUGUAAACUGGGUAACUUGUGGGCCUUCUGUUUACUCGGCAGAUGCUUAUAAUAUAAUGCUUUAUUUUUUUUAUAUAUACAUUGUAGACAUUAUAUACAUCACUGUCCAUGUACCAUAUUUUUUGCACUAUAAGGCGCACUUUAAAUCCUCAACUUUUUUCAAAAUUGCAUAUGCAGCCAAUAGUCCGGUACAUGAGUCAUCAACCUUGGGCUUGUUUGGUAGCACGUGUGUGAGCCGCUCUACUUAGGGAUUAAAAUGGGCAAAACGGCACACGAGUUGUCUCUGAGCUUCUGCAGUCUAUCCAGAGAAUCUCCACAACACCUGUAGUAGCAAUGAAUCAAACUGUUUUUUUAUGUAAAAAUGAAUGAAUAUUGUUUUGAUUUAUUAUAGUAUUGUUUGCAGCCAUAUUGAGCAGGUUAUCACCUGGUGCAUCACAUGUUUGUGGGUAGAGACAUUUUUUGUUGUUAUAACUCACCUGUUGAUUUUGCACCUGUAAGGUAGAAGGGAGAGGGUGAGCUGGGUUGCCACAUUUUUUGUUGACCACUUUAUUUUGCCCAUUUUUGUUAAUUUUACUUUUUCUCACAAUAAACCAGAGCCAUUCUAAGUUGUUUAAAUUGUUUUUUUGUCAUUAAAAUAAAAGGCUCAAAGCAUGACCCAAUUCAAGUCCUUUCUUGUUAAGCGCGUCACACAAUAACCGAACCCAGCGUCAGUCUCUCAGCGACUUUGGAUUUUUGAUGUAGUUGCUACAACACCGGACCUCACAUCAAACAAACUAACUUGUUGCACAGACCAUAAAAAAAAAACCUCUAGGCAUCCAUCUGAGAAAAUGACUCAAGGGUAAAGAAAUCUGAAUUAUUUAGUUAUGUUUGUUUCCAAGUUUUUUUGUGCAGCAUAAUUCAUAUUUCUAAUUUGUAUAAUUUUGACAGAUGUAUUUAUAUGGGGAGCAAAUUACAAGUUAUUUAAGGCUCUAGUUUAUUUAUUCCAUACCAUAUUCCUGUCUGUGUUGACUGAUAUUUAUUUCAAAAUAUAUUUGGAUGUUCUGUUUUUAUUUG